AAGGUCUGUUUGACUUUUUCUGCUUCAUGUCUGACGAGGAAAUCCAAAGUACUCAUGAGCGUGCACCUGCAAGAAGUCAUCAUAGGAGUGAAGAUGACAACCUUACUAGCAACCCUACAGCUGAUGCUUUCUCAUUGUUUUCCACUGGACAUAUGUCGUCUAACUGUCCCGAAAUAAGCGGUCUUACAACACCAGCAGUUGCAAAUGAGAUACAAAGAACUCUCGCUUAUAAUAAUGGGUGAUAUCAGUUUUCAUAAAACACACGUUGACACUAUAGUUCACAAUAGCAAGACCGAUAUUUAUUGACAAGAUUGUUCAGGCUGUUGAUCAUACUUCUAGUGAAGAUAAUGUGAUAAGGACUGUCUUUUGGCGUAAUACCUGCCAUUCUAAAUUUUGUUUUUUCACAUGUAAUUAUGUUCCGAAUGAAAUUAUUAAAAGACUGGAUGCUGCAAACCUACA